rnacentral:rRNA from 1 species
AUGAACUCUUCCUCUGCUCCGGGCCCGGACGGUCUUCCGGUCAUUUUCUUCCAGACCUUCUGGAACGUGAUUAAACCAGAGGUCAUGGCCAUCUUUGAUGAAUUCUUCGUGGGAUCUAUUGACCUAGGCCGCCUCAACUUCGGGACCAUCUCCCUCAUCCCCAAGGUCCCUGGGGCGACUGACAUCCGCCAGUUCCACCCGAUUACGGUCAUUAACGUGAUCUUCCGGAUCCUGGCCAAGGGCUACGCCAAUAAGGUGACCCUGCUUGCAGACCGGAUUACCCACCCUAACCAAUCAGCCUUCAUUAAGGGUCGGUACAUCCUGGAUGGUGUCCUGGUGCUUCAUGAGGUUCUUCAUGAGGUCCGGGUCAAGCGCCUGAAGGCGGUCUUUCUGAAGAUCGAUUUUCACAAAGCCUAUGAUACGGUUAGCUGGUCCUUCCUUAGGAAGUCCUUCUUCGGAAGGGCUUUGACGACCGGUGGAUCACGAGAGUCAUGCAAAUGGUCUCUUGCGGUCGCACGGCAGUCAACAUCAAUGGCGAGAUCGGUCCCUUCUUCCCUACCCUAUGUGGGGUGCGCCAAGGCGACCCCUUCUCACUGUUCCUCUUCAAUAUAG